UAACAGCGCGAACCCGCAGGUAGCCUGGGCUAAUCUAGGCGGGCCACACCUAUACUUAUAUUACAUCAUUAAUACACAAAUAAGAUUGUUAUGCAACUGCUUAUAGAAGGAUUUGCGAAAUCGUUUAAUACAAGUACAUUUACAUAUUUUGAUUGACACUACUUUCAUUUGUACACUGCUUUGUUAGAGGAUUGUCUGUCCUUACGUGAUGCAAUCGUGUAUUGCGUUAGUAUAAGUAAAGUAAUAUGUUCAUUGUAAGACGAUCUACAUCUCGACGAUUUACGAUUCUACAUCAAAGAGUCGUACAUCGAAGACGUAUAGCGAAAUACGAAGAAUAAACGUGCGAAGGCCAAGUUCUCUGAGGGUCCUGAUUUCAGUCGAAGCAGAUCCGACAGUGCUUUGCGGAACCCCUGAUAGAUUCCUCUCUGGCAGCAAGCGAGUUGCUCCGAGCUAAUUCCCAAGUCAAGCACAGUCGUCAGGCCAGUUAGGCCUGCCAAACUUUUGUCAAACGCCCGUUUUCCCCUAGUUAGAGUUCAGAGCGGAAAAUCCCGUUGUCACAGUGGUGAGGAGAAUUAAUGUAGCUGCAACUGGAAUGCCGAAGGACAAGACAGAAUGAACAAACACAUCGACAAGCUUGCUGUAGUGGUUCGUAUACGCAAGAUGUAAAUCCCUUGGUGCGUGGAGUUGUUAUCGCCCAAGUACGUGAGUAAACAAUAGAGAGGUUAAGCACGACGUUCACGGCAAACGGCAAAAAUGAAACUUUUUCCGUCUCCCUCCAGUUCCGUGUACAGUAAAGUGAAAUUAUUAAUAUUUGCAAUGAACAGGAGGAAAAGUUAUUCCAUUUUUGUGUGCUUUAUUUACGGAUUAAAAGAAAAGAACUCAAAAUCAGAAGUUAUCUUUGCCGUUUGCCGUCCGCCGUUAACGUCAUGCUUAACCUCUCUAAUAUUUAAGUGAAGUCUGUGAAGAGAGUUUCAAAGAACAGUUUUCAACCUAGAUACAAUUUAAGAAGUAGAAAGACAGUCAGGGUAACCGUUAGAGCCAGUAGACCCAAAGUAGAUAGGUCCGUUGAAGCCGAUAUGUCCGAAGAAGAGAGUUGAGAAUUUCUUCGUGAGUUACCGUUCCGCCCGUACACCGAUCAAGCAGAAUAAUACCUCUGAUGGUAUAACAAAUGUUCCAAACGAUUUCCAUUCUGGAAAGGCCCGUUCCGUUUGGGUUCCCUCCAGAUAAACCGUUUUUUUUUUUCCCAUAAAAAUGGAGAGCGUCCAUAAUUUUCUUCCGAAAUAUUCCGUCCCACAGUCUCCUCCUAGUCUCCUCGUAAGAAUCGUCUUUAAAAUAAAAAUUGUAAAGAAUGAGAAUAGCUUACGGAAAGAUCCUAAGGUAUAGCAUUGCUAAAAACGCCUUAUGCAAGUCUUCUGGUGGAAUUACGCAUGUACGCUCUCGCUGUCAUGAAAGACUGCAUUUGCAAUCGUGCUGCUGAGAAUCAAGGACGCUCACCUAAGUUAUGGAAAGAACAGACCCAAAUGUAAGGUUUAAAAUUUGUACUGAAGUGUUUAGCUUAAUUUCACAGAUUUUAGAAGCAAAGUUUGUUUUCGGUUAUAAACGAAAUUGUUCGUGUUCAUUGUGGAUUUACAAGUCUUCUCAAUUCCACCACUACUACCCGAGUCUUAACAUUGCAUUGAGUGACUUUUUGUAGUUUUCCGGCAGGAAGUUGUCUUUUGGAUGUUAUUGACCCGGGUUCAAAAACUUCGCUGUAGAGAUUUUUCUAUACAGAAGUUGACUACGUCUAGUGCCUUGGUGCAUCUUUAAGUUUACAAAAAGGGAUGAAAAUGCUCGAGAAGUGCACGGGGGAGAUUACUUUCAGAGCCAUCAUGGCUUAUUUACAGCCAAAAUCUUUUCACGCUCUGCGGACCAGCGGACCUCGAGGUGAACCAUACGUCAUGGUCUGGGAACGAAAUGAAAUAGAAUACUUGGCAUGGCUCCAAUAUGGCUCCUGUCUUGUUGUCGCGCAGCGGGUUUAGUGGGCUUCGAUCGUUCAUUUUGGCAAUAUCUUUUACGUAAAAUGGUUCAAAUGCAUGUCAAGGUGUUUCCAAAAGUAUUGUUUAUCAGCACAUAACUGAUCGUGACUUUAACGAGACUGCAGUGUUGACCUGCAAAAACAGCAGAAGAGAUCGUGUCAUUCAGCUGAUUUGCGCUCCGAUUCUACUGAGGAUCUAAGGAACUGCGGUGAUACUCCUUACCCAGGCAGGAAAAGCAACAACAUCAGUGCAAACUGCCUGUCUAAAAUGCUGUCCAAUAUCAGGUAUGAUCAGUAACAAUUCCAUUGGAUGUAUCUUCAUUUCUACCCUUUCUGUUGUCAAAGGCAGACAAACAAUGUUCUUCCAGGAAGUGAUCCAGAAUUUUCUAAUUUUGUACUUUUUUAUUGUUCUAUCAUUCUAUUGGCUAAUUUGUGCACUAUAUGCACCUCACAAACGAAAAAAGGCAGCAUUCACUAGCUAUUAGGUAGACUAGUUUAAUACCUCCAAAUACAAGGAUCAGUUUUCCUUUGCGUUUCCAGUAGGUAUCUUAUGAACAAAAUGGUUCAAACCUAAUAUGUCUAGUUAUGAAAGGACAACCCAGCACUGCAAAUUCAAUCAUGCUGCCACCAGUUUCAGAUAGGGGUAAUGAAAUGCAUAAGACUCAAAGAAAUUAAGUUAUAGUCUACUCACUCUGUGAUGUUGAGCUAGUAAUAUUUCAACAUUUUUGAGGUUUCCUUCUCUGUUAAAAUGUUACUUGGAAGGACAACAUUAAUAAAAUCCAUGUCCUUUUCAUCUGGAAAACACAAUUUUACAGGAAUCCAAUUUCCUAUGAUACUUCUUUUGAAAUGCCGUUAUGUUUAAGCUUUUUCCUGAGACAUUCUUGCUUUGCCCAGCAAUUAACAGCUUUGAAUAACAUCACACCUUUGAUGUUUAGAUUUCUUUCAAUGAAUUCGUCAAGUAACGAUCUUUCGAUUGUCAAAAAAUUGUCUUAGUUCAAUACCUCCUUUGUUUCUUUGUGGAUCAACUCCCAACAGGCACAAAAAUGUUUAUCAAGUCUGUUUAGUCAGGCGUGUUUUAAAACACAGAGAACUUGCAUAAUGGUGCCACCAGUAAAGCAAACUUGAUUGGUGUAGAUGAAACAGAAAAACUCUAAAAGGCUUUGAUACUGACAGUCUGGCAAAUGAUUUUAUUUCUCUCUGCUUUUGCCAUCUUUCCACAAAACAUUAUAAAAACGCUGGGCUCCUAAUCAUCAGCAAAGGACUUGUGUGCUUGAAUAUAUAUAGUGGGGCCACUGCAUGGUUCAGUUUCAUUGUUGUGACUUUGGGACGCUUGAACAGCAAAUGUAACAUCACUUAACGUCUGGUUGUUAAACAUGAAUUUGAUACUUUCUCUAAAAGCGUCUGGCCAAACGCCGGCAGAUAUGAUGGCAGAGUAACAACAGUUAGGUGCCAUGAAGAACAAAAGAGAAUUGCUGUUUCAAUUUUCGAUCCCAGGGGGCCCCUCAGUCAUUGCUGGCAAACCACAAAAUUUCCGUCCAUUUUCUUGCAGCCCUGUUAAAGAGGUCCACAUAACGUGACGCAAGACUUUUAUGCAAUGCUUGGCAUCUGUUAUUCUAAAACAUUCUACAAUAGUACCAUUUAAUACUAUUCAACAUUGAAUAUGUUGUUGAACACUAAUGUAAUUGUUAGAUGUAUUUAGAACUGACUGCAUUUCCUGUGAUUUUGCUAUUGUCGCAAACCGCCUGGGAAAAGAACUUUUAGUUCGCUUGUGGUCAAAAGUAUACAUUCCAUGCAUGCAUGGCCAUGAUGACACUAUUCAUAACGUAGCUUCUUAAAGACUCACAAGAGCCACAAUUUAAAGAAUCAUUUGCUUAAAAAACUUUGAAUUACCACGUAGAAAGAAAAGGAAUGUCAGAAUCAACUAGACUGCCUCAUAUUUGUCAUGUUUUAUAACUUCAACCAGAAUUAUCCGACUCUGUGUGCAAAACAGUUCAGACAGGAUGAUGCCUUGUUAAUAUGGAUGCUCAUAUCUAGGACCGAGAAACACUGUUCAUGGAAUUUUUCUAUCAGAAGACGAUCUUAUGAAGAAAGAAAUACUACUCCUCAUGUCCAACAAUCCCCAUCACUAUCUGGUGGAUCCCUUUUACAAAGUUUACAUCCCUGAGAAAAAUAACCUUGACGCUUCUACUCUCCAAAAGAGAAAUGAUCAUUAUCAGGCCACCUAUCUGUGCUGCUUAACAUUCUUUCUAAUAAUUUUUUUAGAUGUUAAGGCCAGGAUUCAUCACCAUCAAUAAAUUUUAACUGCAAAAACUUAACUAGUCUUUCAUACAUCCAUUCCCACUUCGCUAUAUAAUGCGUAAAGUACAGAACUGGAAUUAGAUCAUAAUCAUCAUAAUAACUGCCCUCAUUAUAAUGCGUGUUACGACACUUUCUUCCCAUUUCACUACACUUAGAACAACUUAAUUCAAAAUCGCAAAUACUGUGUUCUGAUCAAUUAGUAAAUAAUGGCACAUUCUAUCAAAAGGUAUUAUGGUAAACUCUGGUUUAUAUGUAUGUUUUUUAUCCACAGGAAUAAGGUGGUUUUUGCUUACAAUUUCUUUGCAAAAAUAAAAUCCCAAAAACUCCUUGACCUCUGGAGAUCAAUAUAUCUUCAAGUCCCCACAAACUCCCAACAUAAACCCAAUGUCCCAAUCUGUGUAGCCACUUACCAUUGAGAUAAAUUUCUGUCAAUGUUUUUCCCACAAACUUGCUUGUUUCACCUUGAUCUACUGUGAGGAGAAGUUUGCUAACUUUAGCAAUUUCAAUGGUUGAUUCGUGAAGCCUCUAAGAGUACCAAUGCACUUUAAUAUUGUGGCCCAGGUGCCUUGCUAGCCAAUCUACAUCUGUUUCUUUUAGAGAAAGUACUUGAGAAAUGGUAGCUAUGUGUUACCUCAGCUUGGUACUUGUAAUAGCUGCUAGGUUUGACAAAAAUGUUUCACAAUGUGUUGUGAAUUUCCUGAGGCAAUCACACGCUCACAUGUGAUCUACUGAUUGUCUGCUUGGUCUGGCAAAUACAUACGGAUUUUUGUCCGGAAUGCCAACAUCCUUCCUCGUCUUGAUGAGAAGAUUGACACUGCUGGUCAUCUCUGUGGUCAAAAUGACGCACCUUUCUGCCUCUCUUGCCAUGUAUUUCAACCACGUCGAGUCUGUUUUAACAACAUUUUAUUAAAUGGAGAAAACUUGUUGAAGUACUGACCCAGGAAGAGGUGGUGGUGGAAAGGAUUUAAAAAAGAUACAAAUGGGUGAAUAAACAAGUAUGUUUCUGUUUCUGUUCCUUUAGCAGCUUAUAAUAUGUCCUGUCUAAUUAUAUGUAUCAAUAAAUUUGUUAAUUUUGAUAAUUAUUUUUUAAUAAUAAUAAUAAUAAUAAUAAUAAUCAAUAUUUAAACAGGGUGACCCCUUCAGUCGCAGGACUGGUAUCAACGGGGGCCCUGUAUAACGU